GUCCACGCCGUAAACGAUGGGUGCUAGGUGUGGGGGGUGUCGACUCCCCCCGUGCCGAAGCUAACGCAUUAAGCACCCCGCCUGGGGAGUACGGCCGCAAGGCUAAAACUCAAAGGAAUUGACGGGGGCCCGCACAAGCAGCGGAGCAUGUGGUUUAAUUCGACGCAACGCGAAGAACCUUACCAAGGCUUGACAUGCAUUUGAAAAACGUGGAAACACGUUCCCUCUUCGGAGCAAAUGCACAGGUGGUGCAUGGCUGUCGU
rnacentral:rRNA from 1 species